rnacentral:rRNA from 1 species
UACCUGCAGCCCAAGUGGUGCUCGUUAUUAUUGGGUCUAAAACGUCCGUAGUCGGCUGAGUAGAUGCCCGGGUAAAUCGCAGCGCUCAACGUUGCGAAUUCCGGGUAGACCGCUCGGCUAGGGAGUGGGAGAGGUGCGAGGUACUCUGAGGGUAGGGGUAAAAUCCUGUAAUCCUUGGGGGACCACCAGUGGCGAAGGCGGGCUUGCCAGAAUGCGCUCGACGGUGAGGGAUGAAAGCUGGGGGAGCAAACCGGG